rnacentral:rRNA from 1 species
GACGAACGCUGGCGGCGUGCUUAACACAUGCAAGUCGAACGGAAAGGCCCUGCUUUUGUGGGGUGCUCGAGUGGCGAACGGGUGUGUAACACGUGAGUAUCCUGCCCUUGACUUUGGGAUAACUCCAGGAAACUGGGGCUAAUACCGGAUAGGAGCUCCUGUUUCAUGGUGGGGGUUGGUAAGUUUCGGCGGUUGGGGAUGGACUCGCGGCUUAUCAGCUUGUUGGUGGGGUAGUGGCUUACCAAGGCUUUGACGGGUAGCCGGCCUGAGAGGGUGACCGGGCACAUUGGGACUGAGAUACGGCCCAGACUGCAACGGGAGGCAGCGGUGGGGAAUAUAGCGCAAUAGGCGGAAGCCUGAUGCAGCGACGCCGCGUGCGGGAGGACGGCCUUCGGGUUGUAAACCGCUUUCGCCUGUGACGAAGUGGGAGUGACGGUAAUGGGUAAAGAAGCACCGGCUAACUACGUG